rnacentral:rRNA from 1 species
GACGAACGCUGGCGGCGUGCUUAACACAUGCAAGUCGAACGAAGAGCGAUGGAAGCUUGCUUCUAUCAAUCUUAGUGGCGAACGGGUGAGUAACGCGUAAUCAACCUGCCCUUCAGAGGGGGGCAACAGUGGGAAACGACUGCUAAUACCGCAUACGAUCUAACCUCGGCAUCGAGGAUAGAUGAAAGGUGGCCUCUACCUGUAAGCUCUCACUGAAGGAGGGGAUUGCGUCUGAUUAGCUAGUUGGAGGGGUAACGGCCCACCAAGGCGAUGAUCAGUAGCCGGUCUGAGAGGAUGAACGGCCACAUUGGGACUGAGACACGGCCCAGACUCCUACGGGAGGCAGCAGUGGGGAAUCUUCCGCAAUGGACGAAAGUCUGACGGAGCAACGCCGCGUGAGUGAUGACGGCCUUCGGGUUGUAAAGCUCUGUUAAUCGGGACGAAAGGCCUUCUUGCGAAUAGUUAGAAGGAUUGACGGUACCGGAAUAGAAAGCCACGGCUAACUA